AUGAUUGAUCCCGCCUAGGCC
rnacentral:piRNA from 1 species